AUUGAACGCUGGCGGCAGGCCUAACACAUGCAAGUCGAGCGAGCGGCGGACGGGUGAGUAAUGUCUGGGAAACUGCCUGAUGGAGAGGGAUAACUACUGGAAACGGUAGCUAAUACCGCAUACCAUCAGAUGUGCCCAGGUGGGAUUAGCUAGUAGGUGGGGUAACGGCUCACCUAGGCGACGAUCCCUAGCUGGCCUGAGAGGUUGACCAGCCACACUGGAACUGAGACACGGCCCAGACUCCUACGGGAGGCAGCAGUGGGGAAUAUUGCACAAGGGGCGAAAGCCUGAUGGAGCCAUGCCGCGUGUGUGAAGAAGGCCUUCGGGUUGUAAAGCACUGUCAGCGGGGAGGCGUUACCUGCAGAAGAAGCAACGGCUAACUCCGUGCCAGCAGCCGCGGUAAUAC
rnacentral:rRNA from 1 species